UGAACAAACGCAGUGUAGUGACCCCCUCCCAUGCUUCCAUAAUGGUUGCUAAUUGCAUAAAGCAUAUACCGAUAGGAAGAUUUGCCAUCCUUGUAGGCCAAAUAUGAGGAUAAAUAUAGAUCGUGAGUUGGGAAGUCAACAUAUGUCUCCAACUUGUUCUUCAGAAACCGGUUGUACGAGAACCUCUUCAGGUGGAUGACCAGAAUCUCCGGCAGUCUCCAAAGAUCCAACUUUUUAGUAGCUUGGCGAUGCUGCUUGCAUGCAGGGCAAUACCUAAUGUUGGAUAUAAGACAAAGAAAGUUAGGCAGAUUAUAUUCAUACCUCCCAAGCGAAUGACACAAAUCAAGAUCAUGAGUUGGGAAGUCAACAUAUGUCUCCAACUUGUUCUUCAGAAACCGGUUGUACGAGAACCUCUUCAGGUGGAUGACCAGAAUCUUCGGCAGCCUCCAAAGAUCCAACUUUUUAGUAGCUUGGCGAUGCUGCUUGCAUGCAGGGCAAUACCUAAUGUUGGAUAUAAGACAAAGAAAGUUAGGCAGAUUAUAUUCAUACCUCCCAAGCGAAUGACACAAAUAAAUGAUU
rnacentral:lncRNA from 1 species